UUCAGGGUAUUGUGAAACAUCCUUUCAAUGAGAAGUUAUUCCUAGCUGCUACAAGGAAGCUUGAAGAAACAUUAGCAAGGUACCAGUUGAUAAGAGUACCUUCUAGAGGCUUCCGUAAACUACAAAUUUGUAGAUUUGUUUGAAGUUGUUAGGAAGGUUGUGUUUGUUGAUUCAGUGAGCGACUAGGACAAGAUUUCAGAAAACCACACCAACAAGAUGUGACUCACCGAGAAACUCUAUGAAACACACUCAUUCCAUCUUUGAGCACAUGGCCUUCCUCUUAACACUCACCAAUUACAAUCUUUUGGAAGAGAAAUCCCGAGUUCCAUUGACAUGCUGUGAAUAGUUCCAAGACAUCCUCUCUCAAAUUAGUUUGGAGUUUUGAAAUGGAGUUAGGAGAGAACAAACAUUUGAUUAGUGAAAUCGUCACCUAACCAAGUUUAUUUUCAAAUCAAUGUUCACAUUAAAAAUAUCUAACGUAUAUGGUGACCACUUUCGUGUGUAUAUAUUAUUUCACAUUUAUGUUAAUUGAUUAGAAUUCAGUUUGGAGCGUUCA